AUUAGAUGAGCCUAUAUUAGAUUAGCUAGUUGGUGGAGUAAUAGCCUACCAAGGCAAUGAUCUAUAGCUGAUCUGAGAGGAUGAUCAGCCACACUGGAACUGAGAUACGGUCCAGACUCCUACGGGAGGCAGCAGUGGGGAAUAUUGGACAAUGGGCGAAAGCCUGAUCCAGCUAUGCCGCAUGAGUGAAGAAGGCCUUUGGGUUGUAAAGCUCUUUUAGUGAGGAAGAUAAUGACGGUACUCACAGAAGAAGUCCUGGCUAACUCCGUGCCAGCAGCCGCGGUAAUACGGAGAGGGCUAGCGUUAUUCGGAAUUAUUGGGCGUAAAGGGCGCGUAGGCUGAUUAAUAAGUUAAAAGUGAAAUCCCGAGGCUUAACCUUGGAAUUGCUUUUAAAACUAUUAAUCUAGAGAUUGAAAGAGGAUAGGGGAAUUCCUGAUGUUGAGGUAAAAUUCGUAAAUAUUAUGAGGAACACCAGUGGUGGAAGGCGUCUAUCUGGUUCAAAUCUGACGCUGAGGCGCGAAGGCGUGGGGAGCAAACAGGAUUAGAUACCCUGGUAGUCCACGCUAUAAACGAUGAAUUAA
rnacentral:rRNA from 1 species